rnacentral:rRNA from 1 species
GACGGAGGGUGCGAGCGUUAUUCGGAUUUAUUGGGCGUAAAGAGUGUGUAGGCGGUCGAUCAAGUCUGAUGUGAAAGCCCGGGGCUUAACCUCGGAAGGGCGUUGGAAACUGGUCGACUUGAGUUCGGGAGAGGAAAGCGGAAUUCCGGGUGUAGAGGUGAAAUUCGUAGAUAUCCGGAGGAACACCGGUGGCGAAGGCGGCUUUCUGGACCGAAACUGACGCUGAGACACGAAAGCGUGGGGAGCAAACAGG